rnacentral:rRNA from 1 species
AUGGCGUCGAAUGAAGUAAAGGCGGUUCUACCCGGCGAGAUUAACCCUGGAUCAGAUGCCAAGGGUGGACUGCAGCUGACUGCCAGCGUCCAAUCAACAUAUGCUGCUGCAAAUGUGUGCUCCAGAUGGGGUACUUUUGCAAGAACUUUCAGUGCUAAGCCAAUUGGAAAUGAGGUUAUUGGAAUUGAUUUGGGAACGACCAACUCAUGUGUCGCGGUUAUGGAGGGAAAGAAUGCAAAGGUGAUUGAGAAUUCGGAAGGCGCCAGGACUACACCGUCAGUUGUUGCCUUUUCUCCGAAAGGAGAGCUACUCGUGGGAAUUCCAGCCAAGCGGCAAGCAGUGACCAACCCACACAACACCUUCUUUGGCACAAAGCGUAUGAUUGGGCGUCGCUUUGAUGACCCACAGACGCAGAAGGAGAUGAACAUGCUUACGAUCAAUGAUGCUCAGAGGCAGGCCACCAAGGAUGCCGGCCGUAUUGCUGGACUUGAUGUCCAAAGGAUCAUCAAUGAACCAACUGCUGCCGCUCUGUCGUACGGAACAAACAACAAGGAUCAAGAUAGGUUGGCUCUCCAGAGACUGCACGAGGCAGCUGAGAAGGCGAAAAUCGAGCUCUCCUCAACUACCCAGACUGAAAUCAAUCUUCCCUUCAUCACUGCUGAUGCCAGUGGAGCAAAACAUCUGAACAUCACACUGACAAGAUCAAAAUUUGAGUCUCUGGUGAAUGGUCUAAUUGAGAGGACCAGAGAACCAUGCAAGAGCUGCUUGAAGGAUGCCGGCAUAACCACCAAGGAUGUUGAUGAGGUCCUUCUUGUUGGUGGCAUGACAAGGGUCCCAAAAGUGCGGAGUACGAGGAGGUGA